rnacentral:sRNA from 1 species
UACGUACUACAUGUCCGAGCCAUCCGAGC